GGGCAGGUAGCUCACUGGUAAAGCACCUGGCGCCGGUGUAGGAGGUCCUGGGUUCAAUCCCCGGCCUAUCCA
rnacentral:tRNA from 1 species